ACUUGAAUAUCUGCUAUAUGCUGGGUUCUAGAGCUGCAAAAGAGAACAAGAGUAGUCUUUACCUUUAGGAUUUUCCAGGGAACUGGGGGAGACAGACAGAUACAUACACAUACACCCCAUCCUCAGUGUGUAGGUGCCAUGACAAAUCAAGGCUUUUGAUGCAGAUGCUAUGCUUUCACUUCUCAUGGUCGAUACUUUUUGAAUCUUAAAGUCUGAUUGUUCAGAUAUCUAGAAAAGGAGAUGUCUGGCUUUGCUCUGCCCUCUGACUCACUGUGUUGGUUUAUCUUUAGGCGUGGUGGAGGGGGCCAGAACUACUGGCUAAUGAGAGAAGGCAGACCUUGUUAGUGACAUGUACAAAUGGGCACAUCUGCUAUAUUCACUUUCAUUACUGAUUAUUAAUAGUUUAUUAAAUGGAGUUUACUGAAUUACUAUUAUUUUGGCUUAAAAUAUAUAUAUAUAAUUUAUGUAGUUCUAUGUUUAUAGAUGUGUUUUCAGAGGUGUAUUUGUUUUAGAAUUUCACUCUGUCCUGGAAGUGAUUUUUCAAAUGUGGAUAUUAAAAUGGAUAGGACAUAAUUUCCCAACUAGUACAGUAUGCUAGUGCCAACCUUAUACCACUGUUGUAGUACCCAUGAAAAAUAAUUUUUAAAAAGCUGUAAAAGUUCCCAGUGCUUUGAGGCUUCUUCAAAAUUGAGAAUGAUGAAAAUUUCCAAAAUUAUCAGUUGAUGCCAUAAUUAUCUCUAAGAGAUGUUGUAAUAGGAAAUUCAUGGUUUUCCUUUAUUUUCCUGUUUCUGAACACAAAAUUCAAAAGAAAACUCUUUCUUCCUUGUCACUGAGACUCUUGGUCAGUGUAGGCUGUGAACUUGUACUUUGUGAAGAGAAGAGUACUGUGAGGAAGCUUGAAAAUACUGUAGGUUUUUGUUGGCAUCUUCUUCUGGAUGGUAUUCAUGUACUCUGCACGCCACUGAAAAUAUGCUCUGUUUUUCAUAAAAUAUGCUCAUUCUUUUAUACUGAGCACUCGGAAAUUGGUUUUCCCAAACCAUCUUAGUGGAGAAUGGCCUGCUUUUAUCAGUUAUGUGAAGAAGUAAAUUCCAGGCUCCUCAGCUGCAGGAUGGCUCCUUGUUCACAGCUGCUGCUCUUGCCUCUGUGGAAGACGCCUGCUGCUAAGAGAAUCUUUGUGUGUUGUGUAUAAAAUGAACUUUGUUUGGACCAUUCCACAAGCAACUUAAACUGCUUAGGAGUCCAGCCAGACAUUCCUCCCCAGUUGAUCAUUUAAAUGGAGGUCAGAUUUAGAACCCAACUUAUAUUCGUUUAAAAAUAGACAUUGCCUUUAGAAAACUGACCUUUGGUACAUUUGGGGCCUAGGGAUCUGAUAGGCUAUCUCUUAUGAUGCACAUCGCUCUGUUUUAGACUCUGAAAGGCAGUAUGCCUUUGAAGCUAGAUAACGUCAGUGUGCUUGUAACUUGGGACCCAGUCUGUGUGCUAUAUGUCUGCUUCUUCAGUCCACACUCAUUACUUCCAGGAAAUUCGUGAGAAGAUGAGAGAUUAUUCGUUAUAGAAUUGAGUAUGGUUUCUCUACACUAAUUUUAUUGGAUAUUUUCCAGUUUGACUAGGAAAGGUUAGAGAACAUGGAAAGAAAAUUUAACAGGUUAAUUUUAAGGUAAUAAGACCAUUGUAUUGAUAUAUUCUUCAGUGUGAUUUAGGUGAGUCAGGAAUUUUUCCUCUGGAGACUGCCUAAAUCAGGGAUGUCCAAUCUUUUGGCUUCCCUGGGCCAUACUGGAAGAAUAAGAAUUGUCUCAGGCCACGCAUAAAGUACACUAACACUAAUGAUAGCUGAUUAGCUUAAAAAAAAAAAAAAAAAA
rnacentral:lncRNA from 1 species